AUGAUUUAAAGUCAAUCUGUACCACAAAUCGUGUGCUCCCAUAUUUCCACAACCUUUUGGAAGGAAACCUCAAAAUUCUCACUACCAUUUCGGUCAUGGAUCGUCUGCUAACUUUGCUUGUGGGCGGAAUUGUGGGCUACAUAAUUGGCAAGAAAAUGUAAAGUUACUUUACGACACAUACCUGGCUAUGGAGAGCGCUUGGCUGCUCUUGGUUGGCCAGAACUAUUAGCAGAGAAAGUUUCAUUUACUUGGCUAGAAAAAAGUACACAACAUUUAGAAGAGUUUUUAUCAGGAAUGGAAGUGGAUUGGGUGCUUACAUUCGUGAUUGGUUGCUUGGUGGGCUAUCUGAUAGCCAAGAACACUUAGGCCAGAGCUGUGGGCCACGAAUUUAUUCAAAUUAAAAGUCAAGAACCAAGCAAUUCCGAUCCCAAAAGCAAAAUGACGCACGUCAUCUCCUUUGCCCUGGGCAUAAUAGUUAGCUUGAUGCUCUGCAAGCGAUGUUGAAGCAUUCAAACCUGCCCUAAAAUGAACUUCAAAUGUGUACAAAAUUGAUUAAGCAGAAUUUACAAAUAA